rnacentral:lncRNA from 1 species
GCUCAGAACUUUCUGUUUCUGACUCAGGCAGAGUCCUCAUGACGUUUGGCUUGGUUUGACCUUGGGCUCUAUGGAGUUUAAUGGUUCUAAGCCCUUCCCCAGGACGGAGGCUUCACCUCUCCGUGGAGAUUCCCAGUCACCCCUCUUUGCCAGAUCACUGAUCUUCAAAUUGCACUCCUCAGACGCCUGCAGGUUCAGCCAAGAUUACGUUGGAUUGAUGAAGAGGAUUUGGGAAGCAGGCAGACCACAUCAGAAAUGGCUCAAGAUUCUUCAUGCUGAUAAGACUCCAGGAAACUCACAUCCAGACCCGCUGCAGGAAAUGGAGGUGGACAUUACAGAUGCUUUGGAGGACUGCCCUUUCCUGGGAAAUUACUGGUGGCGCGCAAUUCUAGCCCAAGCACAAACAGAGGAGAGAUCUGUACCGUUGUGCCCCAAGAUCUAUACUGUUGGUGAUCAACCAGGUGCCAAACAAUCCUUCUGCAGGAAGGUUCCUAAGCAGUUAAAAUAUAAAACUGAACUUGCUGAACAGAUAAGAUUUACCCUGGAAAUUCAGAUUAUUGGCGACACACAGUAUGUGUACCGCUGGGUCAGUGAGAGUCGGAAGGGUACUCUCCAAGUUUAUCUCAGUGGUUAG